rnacentral:miRNA from 1 species
UUGGACUUUUUCAGAUUUGGGGAU